AUAGAGUAUUAAAGGUAACGCCUGCCCAGUGAUAAAUUAAACGGCCGCGGGAUCCUCCACCGUGCAAAGGUAGCAUAAUCACUUGUCCCCUAAAUAGUGACUAGUAUGAACGGCCAAAUGAAGAUUUUACUGUCUCUUAUAGCCAAUCUAUGAAACUAAGCUAUCAGUACAAAAACUGAUAUAUUAACAUAAGACGAAAAGACCCUGUGGAACUUCAAGCACACCCCACCACUAUGGGAACCCUGCUUUUAGUUGGGGCAACUUUGGAAAAAAACAAAACUUCCAAUAUAUUUAAAGAUUUACACAUCUAUAUAUUAUACACCCGACCCAGCAACAUGCUGAUCAAAGAACCAAGCUACCCCAGGGAUAACAGCGCCAUCCCCUCUUAGAGCCCAAAUCGACGAGUGGGGUUUACGACCUCGAUGUUGGAUCAGGGCACCCAAACAGUGCAACAGCUGUUAAUGGUUUGUUUGUUCAACAAUUAAAGCCCUACGUGAUCUGAGUUA
rnacentral:rRNA from 1 species